CUUCCUUUUUUCUCCAUUCUUCUUCUCUUCCCGAUCCACUCCUCCUUUUCUCCUCGUCUCCCAUGAACUAAGAAGCGAGCUCGGAGGGGUGCCCGGGAGGAGACCAGCCCGAAGCUGGCGGUGCUGCGACCAACCGGCGGCACCUGCGGCGAUCGUGAUUCCACCCGCAGCACCCACGACCCGACUGGGAGCUCUCCUACUCCACCUCCGGUGGAGGAGAUGGGGCACGGCCACCCGUCGAGGGGCGGCAGAAUAGGCCGAAGCCAGUGGUGCACGCGUAACGCACGGCCGACACCUGCGGUCGGCCCGAUGGCCUCCAUGGUGGCCCGAGCCGGCGGCUCCUCCCUCGUUCCCAUUAGGGUAGGGAAAUAACCCACGGCUGCGGCCAUGGAUGCAGGCACGGCUGCAGCCAUGGAUGCGGGCACGGCUGCGGCCGAGCUCGUUGCGACCAAAGGAGGAGAGAAAAGGCCUCUGGCCAUCGACCACUGCGGCUAAGCAUACCGAUCGGAAUAUGAAAUGGAAGGGAUGGACGACUCACCUAGCUCCGGGACAACUAUGUGAUGUUCCCUCCGGCGGCUCGGAUCCCUACUCCGAUGAUAUUGCCCCUGCUUCAGUUCCUUGUAGCAGAAAAAGAGGGGAAUGAGAAGAAAUGAGAGAGUGAUGGAGUUCCUCUGUGAGGGAUCCAUGAGCCUUAAUAGCCCUCAGCUAGAGGAGGAGAGUGGUAGUGAUCGUGGCUGUCAGGCGGUUGUAACCGUCUCGGCUGGCGAUCACCGCCUCUAGGUCUCCGGAUGGGCCAGCCAGGUUGGGCUUGGCCCAUUAGCUCACUGUAUGUGGGCUGGUCCUCACACUCUUUCCCUUCUCUCUCUCCAUUUCCUCCGCAUACUCUAUUCCGAGGCUCCUGCUCCUUAUUUUGGAGCUCUGCUGCUGCUAGCCGCCAGACAGAGCCGCCAACGGCUGAGAUCCUCCCCUCCAUCGACAUGCCGGGGAAAGAAUGCAGGCAUAGAGAACAGGCAUCAAGGGUUUACCCAUGUCUUUGAAUCAACUUUCGAAAGUGUGGAAGGCAUAGCUGAGUACCUUCCACACCCGGCCCAUGUAGAAUUUACAAAGGAGUUCGCCUGCACUAGAGAGGGUUCUCGUUGUCGACUACAAGCCGACCAUAGUCCAUCAAUGAUGACAGAAUAUGGGUUCCCCUUCUUUGCGCUGAAGUCCUUGUGAAGGCAUCUACCUGGGGCUUGUCCAGAGCUUGUACUCAGAAUUUAUUUGUUUUGAUGCUUUAUGGUCUUUGUUGUGUAAAACAUUGCAGGCUCCUUUGGUUCUGCUUCAGUAAUUUGCUGAUAGAUGAACUGUUACCAUACGAUAAAAUAUAUCAUAGCAUCCGUGACUUGAUUUCAAAUGAAGGCGCUCUACAAGGUAUUGUUGAGAAA